rnacentral:lncRNA from 1 species
CACACACCCCCACACGCGCACAUACACACACAUGCUGACAGGUGUGCACAUAUGCGCACGUGCACACAAAUACGCACGCACAGCACACACAGACACAUAAGUGUCCAUAAACAACACAGAUCUGGCCUCAGAGCCACCCUCCAGGUGCGGCUGCCCCGGGCCCCAGGUGCGGCUGCACUGGGCUGUGGUGACAGCCACAGCAGGAUCAGAGCAGCCUCAAGGCCCUUCAGGAGCCGGCAGAGCUGGCCCCAGGCUGAGCUUGGGGAGGUGGGCCCAGGCCUGGGACCGACGCUUCCUAAUUGGCGGGCAGAGUCCAUGCAGCCCCUCCCAGUCUACACGGAAGCCCACGUGUCCACCUCCUGCUUCUGCUGUCCCCAGGACAGUGAAAUUUACUAAUGUGGAUUAAGAACAUUUUUUAAAUAAAAAAACAUUUUACACAUUGAGGACGGAAGAGAGAAGAUUACGGCCAACCAACCCCAUGCACUUCCCCGCCCAGGUUCAUGGAGUCUGAGCCCUCUGGCCUCCUGAGCCUCUGGGCUCUGUCACCAGGUGGACGCCUUCCCCAGCCCGUGGGGCUCGCUGCUCACGGGGGCCCCGAUGCCUGAGUGAUGUCAUGGAUUUAGGUUUCAGUGCUGGCACAUGUGGCCCGCAGAGCUCAGCUCCUCUGUGAGGGACGUUUCGGCUCCUGUGGGCUUUGCUGUCCCCCAUGCUGACUCUGCCUCACUUGGUUGUCCUCAGGUCACUCUGUGCGGUGUGCACUGACCCCAGCCAGUGGAUGUUCCCCGUCCAAGAGCAAAGCUACAGUAGGCUGCAGGUGCAGCGUCUUUUGCACAGUGGAAGAAUUUCUCCAGAAGAUAUUCCUGCAGGUGGAAUCACUGGAUCGUAGGCCCAGAUGUCUUCCACUUACUUGAUUUUGCCUGAUGCCUUCCAAGGAGGCUGUGCACAGCAGGUGUGAGAUGCCCCAUCUCACCAACCGGCCAACAUCCCAAUGGGAGAUGUUGAGUUUUCACCACGGUGCUGAGUGUGACGUGGAAUCUUCUUAUUUUAGCUUGCAUUUCCCUGAUUACAAGUUAGGUGGAACAUCUCGAAUAUGUUUCUGGGCCAUUUGAUUUUCCUGCAAGACACCUGUUCCAGUUCUUUGCCCAUUUCCUGUUGGGCUGGUCAAUAUUUUUUGCGAUUAUACGUUGGAUACGUGGCUGGCCUUUGGCUUGCCUUUGACUUCAUUUGUUCUAUCGAAGCAUGUGCAGAAUUGUUAAAUUUUAAUGUAUUCAAAUGCAUUAAUCUCAUUUCUUUUUUUUUGUUGUUUUAUUUUUUGUUUUUUGUUUUUUUGAGACAGAGUCUCGCUCUUGUCACCCAGGCUGGAGUACAGUGACACGAUCUCGGCUCACUGCAACCUCUGCCUCCCCACUUCAAGCAAUCCUCCUGCCUCAGCUUCCUGAGAAGCUGGGACCACAGGCAUGUGCCAUCAUGUCCGGCUAAUUUUCUUUUUAAAAUGUUGUAGCAAUGGAGCCUGGGCUCAAGCCAUCCUCCCACCUCAGCCUGCCAAGUAGCUGGGACCACAGACAUGUGCCACUGCCGCGCCCAGCUAGCCUUUAAUAUUUUUAAAUGCUGUAAGAUCUGCAGGUUUUUUUCCAACCAAGUUUGUAGCUUUUCACCCCACGGAUCCCCCGAGGCCAUGACAGGCAGUGACCUCCUUGGGGCACCCGCAGGGUCCUCCCCCCCAUCUUGGGAGGGCUUGUCCAGUUUCAGUUUUGUUUACUAGGCUUUGUUUUACAGUCACUAGUUAAAUUUACUAACAUUUUUCACCUUCUUGUCUCAAGGGACUUCAUUUUAAUAAACAAUAUCUUUUCUCUUUUCUUUC